GGACCCUUAGCUCAGUUGGUUAGAGCAUCCGGCUCAUAACCGGGCGGUCACAGGUUCGAGUCCUGUAGGGUCCACCA
rnacentral:tRNA from 1 species